rnacentral:rRNA from 1 species
UACGAAGGGGGCUAGCGUUGCUCGGAAUGACUGGGCGUAAAGGGCGCGUAGGCGGUUUGCACAGUCAGAUGUGAAAUUCCUGGGCUCAACCUGGGGGCUGCAUUUGAUACGUGUGGACUGGAGUGGGGAAGAGGGUCGUGGAAUUCCCAGUGUAGAGGUGAAAUUCGUAGAUAUUGGGAAGAACACCGGUGGCGAAGGCGGCGACCUGGUCCUUGACUGACGCUGAGGCGCGAAAGCGUGGGGAGCAAACAGG